rnacentral:rRNA from 1 species
UACGAAGGUCCCAAGCGUUAUCCGGAUUUAUUGGGUUUAAAGGGUGCGUAGGCGGGCUAUUAAGUCAGUGGUGAAAGCCCCAGCUUAACUUGGGAACUGCCAUUGAUACUGAUGGUCUUGAGUACAUUUGAGGUGGGCGGAAUGUGUCAUGUAGCGGUGAAAUGACUUAGAUAUGACACAGAACACCGAUUGCGAAGGCAGCUCACUAAACUGUAACUGACGCUGAGGCACGAAAGCGUGGGGAGCAAACAGG